GACGAACGCUGGCGGCGUGCUUAACACAUGCAAGUCGAACGGAAAGGCCUGCUUUCCCUUGUGGAUUGCGGGUACUCGAGUGGCGAACGGGUGAGUAACACGUGAGUGAUCUGCCCCCAACUUGGGUAUAAGCCUGGGAAACUGGGUCUAAUUCCCGAUAGGACUGCAGGGUGGUGCCUGUGGUGGAAAACGAUUUUCUAGUGGUUGGGAUGAGCUCGCGGCCUAUCAGCUUGUUGGUGGGGUAAUGGCCUACCAAGGCGGCGACGGGUAGCCGGCCUGAGAGGGUGGACGGCCACAUUGGGACUGGGAUCCGGCCCAGACUCCUACGGGAGGCAGCAGUGGGGAAUAUUGCACAAUGGGCGGAAGCCUGAUGCAGCGACGCCGCGUGGGGGAUGACGGCCUUCGGGUUGUAAACUCCUUUCGACCGCGAGGAAGCCACCUGGUUGGAAGGGUGGUGACGGUAGUGGUAGAAGAAGCACCGGCUAACUACGUG
rnacentral:rRNA from 1 species